AAGGCAUAACGAGGGAACUUCUUAAGCAUUUUCUUAAAUCUCUCCCAACUUUUAUAAAUUGAUUCUCUUAGAAUUGAGAAAAAGAAGUGAUCUAAUUUCUAAGUAU